CGCGAGAGCGAUGGAAUCCCAGGCGAGCCCUCGGACGCCGUGGUGUUUGUCGGGAUCUCUCUCGUUCUCGGAAUCGCUUCAAGGCACGUGCUUCGGGGGGCUAGAGUUCCGUACACCGUCGCUCUUCUCAUCAUCGGCAUUGUCAUGGGAUCUCUAGAUGAGAUUUCUUGCACACAAGGUGUUUGAUAUAAUGCAUUGGUGAGAACAAAUGGUUUUAUUAGAGAGAAUGACUCAAUCUCAGGUGAAAACCCAGAGAUGAUUAGUUGUUCAGA